UAGGAUAGAGGCCUACCAUGGUGGUAACGGGUAACGGGGUGUUAGGGCACGACACCGGAGAGGGAGCCUGAGAAACGGCUACCACAUCCAAGGAAGGCAGCAGGCGCGCAAAUUACCCAAUCCCGACACGGGGAGGUAGUGACAAUAAAUAACAAUACAGGGUUCUUUUGGAUCUUGUAAUUGGAAUGAGUACAAUUUAAAUCUCUUAACGAGGAACAAUUGGAGGGCAAGUCUGGUGCCAGCAGCCGCGGUAAUUCCAGCUCCAAUAGCGUAUAUUAAAGUUGUUGCAGUUAAAAAGCUCGUAGUUGAAUUUCGGGAUCAAUAUUUCGGUCAUGCCGUUGGUAUGCACUGUUAUCAUUGAUUUCUCACCUUCUAAAGAACCGUAAUGCCAUUAAUUUGGUGUUACGGGGAAUUAGGACUGUUACCUUGAAAAAAUUAGAGUGUUUAAAGCAGGCUCACGCUUGAAUACAUUAGCAUGGAAUAAUGAAAUAGGACAUCCGAUUCUAUUUUGUUGGUUUCUAGGAUCGAUGUAAUGAUUAAUAGGGAUAGUUGGGGGCAUUAGUAUUCAAUUGUCAGAGGUGAAAUUCUUGGAUUUAUUGAAGACUAACUACUGCGAAAGCAUUUGCCAAGGAUGUUUUCAUUAAUCAAGAACGAAAGUUAGGGGAUCGAAGACGAUCAGAUACCGUCGUAGUCUUAACCAUAAACUAUGCCGACUAGGGAUCGGAUGAUGUUAAUUUUUUAAUGACUCAUUCGGCGCCUUACGGGAA
rnacentral:rRNA from 1 species